rnacentral:lncRNA from 1 species
CAGAUGUGGAUAGCUGGACCCUCCUGGGUGCCUCUGCGUUAUGUCGUUUGGUUGAUGCAUUUGGAGAGAAUCUGUGCUCUCCACAACUGCAGGGGCAACAUGCUUUCCUGGCCUCUUCAGAUCAGGGUGGCUGUUCUUGGGUGCUGCACCAAAACUCCAGCAGUGGGCUUUCUUCAAGUGGCCGGCUCACCUCAUUCCUGCCAAGACCCAGGUCCGUGUUCUCACAGUGCUGCCAUCUUUCCUCCGUGUGAGCGUGGGCUGUGCGGAGAGUGGACCUCGGUGUGUGCGGGGCUGCGUGCACUGCCAUCGCUCCCUCUACACGAGCCGGCGUGGACCCAGGGCUGAGCUGUGACCACGAGGGCCAUCCCGACGAGCCGCCAUGGACCCAGGGCUGAGCUGUGACCAUGAGGGCUAUCCCGACGAGCUGCCGUGGACCCAGGGCUGAGCCGUGACCAUGAGGGCCAUCCCGAAACUGUGAUUGUUUUCUGGUAUGUGGGGGAUGUGCCAGAACCAGGGCUGAGCUGUGACCACGAGGGCCAUCCCGGAGCUGUGAUUGUUUUCUGAUGAAGAAACCAAGGCUUUGUGACUAACUCAACCCCUCAAGAAGGACAAAACUAGCAUCAGAGCCCCUUGCUCCUGGGUCUGGCAAGAAUGCCUCUUGUUUGCUGAGAGGUCCACAGAUUUACCCGGCUCAAGACUGGGAGAUGGGAGGUGACCAGGUCAGUGCCAGCCUCUCUCUGAGCUCCUCUGAGUCGUGGCAGCUGAGGUGCUCCUCCGAGAAUGUUCUGCCAUCCGUGAGGUCGUGUACGCCUGGAAGCUUUUGUUCCAUUGAACUCUGCCAGGGAGCUAUACUUAGCCACGCGAGUGGAGGCCAGGAGUGGGUUCUCUGAAUAUAGAUAGUAGCAAGCAGGCUAUUUUCAAACACCUAGAGAACCCCCAUGAUUAUUCUGGGCCAAAAUGAUAUUUAUAGGAUGCUCUGGGCCCUUGGACAUGAAGGCAAUAACCUUAGCGCCUUUUGGCGUUCGGGAUAAGUUUCUAUCAACGGGGAGUGGAGAGAGGGACCCGGUCACCCAGAGGCCCGCUGUCCCUCAACACCUGUUUCCAGGAGGCCAGGCGUCUUCUUUGCUUUUACACUAUGAGUCAGAGAACAGCGAGAGGCACGCAGGGCCCUACUAAUUUUCCUUCCUGCACACCCUGGUGUGGGUCCUGUCUGAGGCCUGCCGUGUGCUAUUAGGGAAGACGUCAUCAGGGGACUUUUUCUGCUGUGAGGAGGGUGCAGCCCCUGCCUUUCAGAGCUCAGGACACCCUCUUCCUCUUGUCCAGGAUCCUCAGGGAUUUCCUAGGCUUCCACCCUCACCCAGACAUCACUGGACCGUCACUGAAACACCCGCUUCCAGUGUGCUCAGGUCCUGCAGCCUCCUGUCCAUCCUUGCCCCGCCUCCCGCCCGGAGGAAAGACUCUGACACUGCCCCUGGAAGAGGGAGGAGAGUGGAUGUGAUGAGUGAAGAUUUGGGUGGGGAAAGGAAGGCCUGAGUCCUGGGAGGAAGAGCUCUCCCCGCCCCGAGCCCCCGGAGACUGUGAGCAAGGCUGAGACGCCUCCUUCCUGGUGCUCAAGCUGCAGGUGUUGGAUAGGCCUCCAGAAGCCCAGAUUUUAAAUGACCGCUCCAGGUUAACCUGGGGAUGGUCAGGCAGAACAAGGAGGAGAGGCCAGCAGUGAAGGGCAGGGCUGGUGGGCAGUGGCUGGGGGUGUCCUGGGUGGGGCUGGCCACCCUCGCUGCCUCUGACUUGGGCCAGACCUGCGUUAAGUGGAGUGGCUCCUCCAUUCUUUACACCCCAGGCCCCUGGCAGGUGCCCUGCC